rnacentral:tRNA from 1 species
UUAACUAAAACCAAAUUAGAGGUAUAUCACUGUUAAUGAUAAAAUUGAAUUAAAUUCUAGUUAAU